rnacentral:sRNA from 1 species
CUUGGCUGCUUCUUGGACUCUGUGAUCUAGUAAGUGGGUCAGCUGUCAGGAUGGACUCGUUCUUCUCCUUUGUGAUCGAGUAUAACUGGUGGACUAGCAAAGUGGACUGCUUGGUCGCCUCUGCGAAAGAGUAGAAUUGCAGAAUGCACUGCCUCCUCUCCUCUGUGAUCGAGUAUAUCUGGCAAAAUGGACUGCCUGGUCUCCUCUACGAUCGAGUAGAAGUGUCUAGAUGGACUGUUGAGCUGACUACUUCCCUCUCUGCUACUGGUGAUCGAGUAUGUUGGUGGAAGUGUGACUUUCUGUUCUGUUUUUCCUCUUUCUGAGCACCAAUAGCUCCAAAACACCUGAAACAACUCCAGAAUGCAGAAUGUAUGCAAGACUAGUCCUAGACUCGACUAAAGAUGCAAAAUGUACAAAAAUGAUGGUGAAUGUUAUGACAGAUGGAUGAAACUAGACUCAAAAUGGUGAUAAAAGGAUGUGUAAAACAUGCAAAUUAUAGACAUAUCAACUUCCCCAAACUUAGUCUUUGCUUGCCCUCAAACAAACAAGUAGACAUAAGCUGAAGGAGAGGUUUGAAGGUGGAGAUUCAGAACCAAAACAUCAUAUAAAUCAGAUAAAAUCAAUGUCCAAGUUGGCAGUUCUAGGAUGCGAUAUUAUCGAACUCUACUCAAAAAUGUUAGCCAUGCCUUAUUAUAGUUCAAUCCCACUCUUAU